UAGUUUAAAAAAUAGUUAGAAAACAUUUAACUAAUUCAUUAUACAAUAAUUAGUUAGAAAAAUUUACAUGAUAAAUUUUUAUUUAUUUGUUUGGCAGAGAAGUGUGUCAUUUUCUAUUUGAUGUCUGAAGAAAUUUAUUGUGUAAUGACAAGUAUUUGGUGGAACAAGGAGUAUCGGAGGUGUAGGCUUUCUAUUUGUUAAAAAAUAUAUUAGAAGUGCAUAAUGUUUUAUUUGAUGUCUGCUUAUAUUUUAUUUAUUUAUUUGGUGGAGUUUUUUAUUGUGUAACAUUGGGCAUUUGGUGGCCCAAGAAUUAUCAAACGCACAUGCUAUUUAUUUCUUAAAUAUUUAAGAAGUACGUAAUUUUUUUAAUUAAUAUAUACUUAUAUUUUAUUUAUUUUUUGAGAGAGAAAUUUAUUAUGUAAUGUUAGAUCAUAAAAUUUUUAUUUUUUAAAUGUAUUAGAAGUGCAUAAUUUUUUAUUAUAGAAAAUUGACUCGUUUUAUGGGGGAUAGAUGUUCUUUUUAUAUAGAAGCUGCUGCCAGAUUUUGAUUUUUUGAAAAAAUAUAAAAUGCUUAGUUUGAUUAUGUAUUUUUUAUAUUUAAUUCAAAUUAUUAAUUAAGACUGUAAUUUUAAUCAAUUGCUUUUGAUGUCAUUUUAAUCAAUUGCUUUUGAUGUCAUUUUAAUUAAUUGCUUUUGAUGUCAUUGAUUUCUUAUAUCUACUACAUUUAUACCAUCUCCACCUAUCACCACAUAUCCUCCACCUCCUACUGCACAUACUACAUCACCACCACCACAACCUUCAUUAUCAUAUACUCCACCUCCACCUUCACAACCUUCAUCAUCACAUCGACCUCGCCUUCCUAGUAUGCACUCUUCAUCACCACCUAUAUCGAUGAAUAUACUAGCUCUAUCUCCUUGGAUGCCUAUAGGAUUAGGUACACCAUCUACAGCUGGGUCUGCAUCCCAUGCCAAUUCUAGAUCGACACAUAGUCGCUUACGAGUACACUUGCGUAAUAAUAUGUUGGAGUCAUCUCGGUCUUGCUCAUGCAAGAUUCGGAAGAUUCACGGAAGGGAUAAGGUGGAAGUCAGUUUCUAAGGAAACUAAGGACUUCUACUUUAAUGAAUUUAAGAAGCAGUAAUUGUGGGAGGAAGUAGUAGAUGCCCUUGUUCAAGAGGCGUGGAAAAAGAAAGCUGCAAAUCAAUAUCGUGAUAUAAUAUGCGAGCUAAAGAAGGCGAGCAAGAAGCUGAAAUUUGUGCAACCAGAAGCUCGGGAGAGAUGGAAACAGGAAUGGAAACGCUUGAGGCCAAGCAAAUAUUAGAGCAAUAUUCCUAGAUUUGGCUGUCACAUGCUUCUGAUAGCUCUAGGCCAUCUACCCAUACAAGAGGCAUGACUACCCAUCACGAGCAUGGGAGAUGACUUGCACAAUCACUAGGAUGUCCACCUACUUCUUCGGAGUUGUUUCUACACAUCCACACUAAAAAAGUUUUCAGAAUACGUGUCAGAGGAGAAGAGAGCAGCUUACACAGAACUUUGAGACCGUGGAUGAUAACUCUUUAUUCUUUAAGGUUGUCAGUGACGAGAAGAAUUAUCGAGUCUACAAAUUUAGCUCACAGGAUUCUAAGUUUUAUUGUCGUCAUUCUGCCUCUUCUUCAGUGACAUACUCUCAUAGUGGUAAUACAUAUUCUAUCGAGCUUCAGGACUUGCAGAUAAGGGUGUCUGAGCAAAAUGUGCAGUUUCAGGAGCAGUAUCUGCAGAUUCAGAAGCAUAAUGUGCAUAUUCGAGACUUGCAACAGUAUUUGCAGGACCUUGCCCGCUAAAUCUAGGAAAGCGCUCACCUCAACCCCCUUCCAGUCUCUUAGUGAUGAUGAAUCACUAACUCAUUAGUUUAUUUUUUGAUAUUUAGACUAUAUUGCAACUUUUGACACUUACCAUUUUCUUAUUCGUUGUAAUAUAUAUGUCUCACAUACUUGUUUAUUUUUUUAAA